rnacentral:lncRNA from 1 species
GUUCCGCUUAACGUGGGUCCGCCCCUGUUCGUAAUGCCGUACGACUUUUUCGAUCAGUUGUAACAGAACGGCGUCGUUUUCGUUUUCAAUUUCAUUUUCGUUGUGGUUGUAAUUAGCGGCGGUUACGAGUUCUUCGAGGUGCGAGUUCUGUUCGCGGAGCCAGUUUUCGAAGAAUGUGUUGAAUGAUUCAGAAGAAGACGUAUGAGGAGGAUUACUAGAGGAGGUUAUUGGCUCCUCCUCCGCCAUGAAAGGUGUGGUGUCGUCCAAAAGUAUCAUGAAAGGUGGAUAUUGAUGAUGAUGACGACGGUUGAGAAGAGAGAUUUAUAGAAAUUGCAAGUUGCAGAGAAUUGAUUGGGGGUGCAAGUUGAAUCGAAUCUGAACCUGUCCGUGAAAACCGCUAGGGUUUCUAUGCAUAAACCCGGUGAAACCAUGGGCGAAUGCUGGUUUGCAAAGUUGACAGGUAACAAAAUGUGAAAGCCAAAUAGAAGCCAGCUG